rnacentral:rRNA from 1 species
GUGAGGAAUAUUGGACAAUGGGCGCAAGCCUGAUCCAGCCAUGCCGCGUGCAGGAAGACGCAUCUAUGGUGUGUAAACUGCUUUUGUACGGGAAGAAACACUCCCUCGUGAGGGAGCUUGACGGUACCGUAAGAAUAAGGAUCGGCUAACUCCGUGCCAGCAGCCGCGGUAAUACGGAGGAUCCAAGCGUUAUCCGUAAUCAUUGGGUUUAACGGGUCCGUAGGCGGUUUAAUAAGUCAGUGGUGAAAGCCCAUCGCUCAACGAUGGAACGGCCAUUGAUACUGUUAGACUUGAAUUACAAGGAAGUAACUAGAAUAUGUAGUGUAGCGGUGAAAUGCUUAGAUAUUACAUGGAAUACCAAUUGCGAAGGCAGGUUACUACUUGUGGAUUGACGCUGAUGGACGAAAGCGUGGGGAGCGAACAGGAUUAGAUACCCGGGUAGUCC